GACGUAGGGGGCAAGCGUUAUUCGGAAUUAUUGGGCGUAAAGCGCUCGUAGGCGGGACAGGAAGUCCGUGAAGAAAGACCUGGGCUCAACUCAGGGACCGGCACGGAUACUCUUGUUCUUGAGGCAAUCAGAGGGUGAUGGAAUUCCCGGUGUAGCGGUGAAAUGCGUAGAUAUCAGGAGGAACACCGGUGGUGUAGACGGCUUUCUGGACCGUAACUGACGCUGAGACACGAAAGCGUGGGUAGCAAACAGG
rnacentral:rRNA from 1 species